GCAAACUUGGUCAUUUAGAGGAAGUAAAAGUCGUAACAAGGUUUCCGUAGGUGAACCUGCGGAAGGAUCAUUAUUGAGUUGUAAUGGGGUUUGAUGCUGGCAGCCACUUCUUUUUGGAUGCAUGUGCUCGCCCUAACAAUCAUCUUCCAAACACUUGUGCACAUUUUUUGAGGGGAGGCAUCGAGUUGAUCACUCUGGUGAUUUUGUCCCGCAUUCCCUCAAUUGAUUUAUACGCUGCCUGUAAUGCUGAACGUGCUUUGUGCCGCAAGGCCUUUAAUCUAAUACAACUUUUAACAACGGAUCUCUUGGCUCUCGCAUCGAUGAAGAACGCAGC
rnacentral:misc_RNA from 1 species